AAGAAGGCCUCCGGAAUGAAAGA
rnacentral:miRNA from 1 species